AGAGUUUGAUCAUGGCUCAGAUUGAACGCUGGCGGCAGGCCUAACACAUGCAAGUCGAGCGGUAGCACAGAGAGCUUGCUCUCGGGUGACGAGCGGCGGACGGGUGAGUAAUGUCUGGGAAACUGCCUGAUGGAGGGGGAUAACUACUGGAAACGGUAGCUAAUACCGCAUAACGUCGCAAGACCAAAGUGGGGGACCUUCGGGCCUCAUGCCAUCAGAUGUGCCCAGAUGGGAUUAGCUAGUAGGUGGGGUAACGGCUCACCUAGGCGACGAUCCCUAGCUGGUCUGAGAGGAUGACCAGCCACACUGGAACUGAGACACGGUCCAGACUCCUACGGGAGGCAGCAGUGGGGAAUAUUGCACAAUGGGCGCAAGCCUGAUGCAGCCAUGCCGCGUGUGUGAAGAAGGCCUUCGGGUUGUAAAGCACUUUCAGCGGGGAGGAAGGCGGUGAGGUUAAUAACCUCAGCGAUUGACGUUACCCGCAGAAGAAGCACCGGCUAACUCCGUGCCAGCAGCCGCGGUAAUACGGAGGGUGCAAGCGUUAAUCGGAAUUACUGGGCGUAAAGCGCACGCAGGCGGUCUGUCAAGUCGGAUGUGAAAUCCCCGGGCUCAACCUGGGAACUGCAUUCGAAACUGGCAGGCUAGAGUCUUGUAGAGGGGGGUAGAAUUCCAGGUGUAGCGGUGAAAUGCGUAGAGAUCUGGAGGAAUACCGGUGGCGAAGGCGGCCCCCUGGACAAAGACUGACGCUCAGGUGCGAAAGCGUGGGGAGCAAACAGGAUUAGAUACCCUGGUAGUCCACGCUGUAAACGAUGUCGAUUUGGAGGUUGUGCCCUUGAGGCGUGGCUUCCGGAGCUAACGCGUUAAAUCGACCGCCUGGGGAGUACGGCCGCAAGGUUAAAACUCAAAUGAAUUGACGGGGGCCCGCACAAGCGGUGGAGCAUGUGGUUUAAUUCGAUGCAACGCGAAGAACCUUACCUGGUCUUGACAUCCACAGAACUUUCCAGAGAUGGAUUGGUGCCUUCGGGAACUGUGAGACAGGUGCUGCAUGGCUGUCGUCAGCUCGUGUUGUGAAAUGUUGGGUUAAGUCCCGCAACGAGCGCAACCCUUAUCCUUUGUUGCCAGCGGUUAGGCCGGGAACUCAAAGGAGACUGCCAGUGAUAAACUGGAGGAAGGUGGGGAUGACGUCAAGUCAUCAUGGCCCUUACGACCAGGGCUACACACGUGCUACAAUGGCAUAUACAAAGAGAAGCGACCUCGCGAGAGCAAGCGGACCUCAUAAAGUAUGUCGUAGUCCGGAUUGGAGUCUGCAACUCGACUCCAUGAAGUCGGAAUCGCUAGUAAUCGUAGAUCAGAAUGCUACGGUGAAUACGUUCCCGGGCCUUGUACACACCGCCCGUCACACCAUGGGAGUGGGUUGCAAAAGAAGUAGGUAGCUUAACCUUCGGGAGGGCGCUUACCACUUUGUGAUUCAUGACUGGGGUGAAGUCGUAACAAGGUAACCGUAGGGGAACCUGCGGUUGGAUCACCU
rnacentral:rRNA from 1 species